rnacentral:lncRNA from 1 species
GGGUGACAGGGUGAGACUCUGUCUCAAAAAACAAAACAAAACAAAACAAAACAAAAUAAAAAUAAAACCCAAGACCCUAGCAAGGCAGAGACACACAAGCAGCUGGAUGUUGUAAGGAAUACAUCGGUGGAAGAAGACAUAAGUGGCUGGUUGUCAAGAGCAUGCCGAAGGAAGAGCACACUGACAGGCACCAGCAGGCCAGCACACCAGUAGGCCAACAACUGGCAGAACGACAUGGAGUUUGGCCGAGGCAGCUGGAAGAGAGCCCAGGCUGCCGAGUGGCCCGACUCCAGGGGAAAACAGUCUCCCUCUGGCUCCCUCGUCUGCUGAGAGCUACUUCCAGUCAAUAAAACCUUGCACUCAUUCUCCAAGCCCACAUGUGAUCUGAUUCUUCCAGUACACCAAGGCAAGAAACCUUGGGGUACAGAAAGCCCUCUGCCCUUGUGACAAGGUAGAGGGUCUAAUUGAGCUGACCAACACAAGCCACCUAUAGAUGGCAGGCUAAAAGAGCACCCUGUAACACACGCCCACUGGGGCUUCAGGGGCCAUAAACAUUCAUUCCUAGACAUUGGCAUGGGGUCAGAGCCCACAGCCUGCCCGUCUGUAUGCUCCCCUAGAGGUUUGAGCAGCUGGGCACUGAAGAAGUGAGUCACACCCCCAUCACACUCCCUGCAAGGGGAGCAAGGGAACCUUUCCCAUUUCAACUGGGGGCUCGCCCGGGAUCCUGGAAGAAUGGGCAACCCGUUCUCUUCACCACCCCCAGCUUAUACUCCUCUGGAGUGUAUCCUGAACCACUGGAACUGCUUGGACUCUCAGAGUCUGGAGGAAAAGUGCCUCAUAUCCCUCUGCACAAAGAAACCCUCAAACUCCAAACCGUCAGGCAACCGGAGCCUCAAACGAUGGCUCCCCUUUGCUAGGAACCCUUAGAUAGACCUCUGGGAGGAGUCUGACUGCCGUUUUCCCCAAAACAACGCCCCUGUCAACAGGAAACAGCUAAGACCGGUCAUCGUCCAUAUUCUAGUGGCAGUUAGAUGUACCUCUUUAAAGGGGGGAUAUGAUAAGGGAGUGCUGGGAAGGGAAGAGCGUGGUCCCUUUAAAUGAUACAGAAGCAGAGAGGGGAAGAGCUGGGUAGAAGAAGGCGGGUUCCUGGCUAGGGCUUCACCCCCAAGGACCUAGGUGAGGACAGGCACUUCUGCUUUCACGUCCAAAUGUUGCAAUUUCCAAGACCACCCUGGCCCACCACCACCUGGCCCCAUCCUGGGCCUAUAAAAACUGAGACCUUAACAAGGCAGAGACACACAAGCGACUGGACAUUGUGAGGAACACAUAGGUGGAAGAAGACACAAGCGGCUGAUCGUCGAGAGCACGCAGGCAGAAGAGCACAUUGACAGGCACCGGCAUGCCCGCAGGCCAUCAACUGGUGUAAUGACAUGGAGUUUGGCUGGGGCAGUCUGAGGAGAGCCUGGGCUGCCGAGCUGCCCAACUCCAGGGGAAAACAAUUUCCCUCUGGCUCCCCUGUCUGCUGAGAGCUACUUCCACUCAAUAAAACCUUGCACUCAUUCUGCAAGCCCAUGUGUGAUCUGAUUCUUCUAGUACACCAAGGCAAGAAACCCAGGGAUACAGAAAGCCCUCUGUCCUUGAGACAAGGUAGACGGUCUAAUUGAGCUGACUAACACAAGCUGCCUAUGGAUGGCAAACUAAAAGAUCACCCUGUAACACACGCCCACUGGGGCUUCAGAAGUUGUAAACAUUCACCCCUAGACACUGCCAUGGCAUCAGAGCCCCAC